GCGAGCGGACGCUUCGGUCGAUGCACUCUGCCCAUCGGAACAGAACUCGUUCCGCUUAGUGUUGCCCUUAGGCGCAGCCAUCGCGCUCUGCCUCAAACCCCAGAUUGAACAGCAACACGCGGCAAGGAUAAAGCUCGACAGAAAGAACCAAGUAUGGAAUGAAGAAAACUUAGGCCAAGACUCACCUCUCGAUAUUUGGCAGCAGGAAUUAACUUCUCUUCAUCUCCCUUUCUGGUGGUUGGUGUAUGAGAGAAGGAAUGAAGUGUCAGGCUGGUGCUUUAAUAAGUGAGUUGUUGGCUGUAAGGUUAAAGGAUUGGAGAUGGUGGUUGGCUGAGGGGAUGGUGCUGUCGUAGGGUGGCUGAAAAACUCUCUAGGUGGUACCUUGGCAUAGUUGAUCCAACUGUUGGCAGCUACUUCUUUGUGCACACACACACGUUUCAUUUUUCCUUUCUUCCCCUUUUUCUUCUUUCCUUUUUGUACUAGGUGAUGUAAUGAAAAAAAAAAAUCAUUUUGUCUUGGUAAAUUGUAUCUAUAAUUCCAA